GACGAACGCUGGCGGCGUGCUUAACACAUGCAAGUCGAACGGAAAGGCCCUGCUUUUGUGGGGUGCUCGAGUGGCGAACGGGUGAGUAACACGUGAGUAACCUGCCCUUGACUUUGGGAUAACUUCAGGAAACUGGGGCUAAUACCGGAUAGGAGCUCCUGCUGCAUGGUGGGGGUUGGAAAGUUUCGGCGGUUGGGGAUGGACUCGCGGCUUAUCAGCUUGUUGGUGGGGUAGUGGCUUACCAAGGCUUUGACGGGUAGCCGGCCUGAGAGGGUGACCGGCCACAUUGGGACUGAGAGACGGCGCAGACUGCUACGGGAGGCAGCAGUGGGGAAUAUUGCACAAUGGGCGGAAGCCUGAUGCAGCAACGCCGCGUGCGGGAUGACGGCCUUCGGGUUGUAAACCGCGUUCGCCUGUGACGAAGCGUGAGUGACGGUAAUGGGUAAAGAAGCACCGGCUAACUACGUG
rnacentral:rRNA from 1 species